CUUGCUCUGAUGACAAAAACACGAAAAGAACAAUCAUGUUGAGACACUAUGUGUCCUGCAGUGCUGAGCUU
ensembl:snoRNA snoRNA:Me5.8S-G74